AUUGACUACAACCUUCUGCUGCCUGUCACUCAGCCACUGCCUUACCCAUUCAGCAAUAUUAGAAUCCAAACUUAAAGAUUGCAGCUUAUUGAUAUGCCUUCUAUGUGCAACAGUGUCAAAAGCCUUACUGAAAUCUAGGUAAGCAAUGUCUACUGCACCACCCUGAUCUAUAAUUUUAGUUACCCAAUCAAAAAAAUCAAUAAGAUUAGUUUGGGAUGAUCUGUUCAACAAUCCUAUCCUUUAACAUGGUUUCCAUCACUUUCCCCACUACUGAAGUAAGGCUUACUGGCCUAUAGUUGCCCAACUCCUCCCUAUUACCUUUCUUGUGAAUGGGCACAACAUUCACUAACUUCCAAUCUUCUGGGACUACUCCUGUUAACGAUGAUUGGUUAAAUAAAUCUGUUAAUGGUUUUGCUAGUACUCCACUAAGCUCUUUUAAUAGCUUUGGGUGUAUUCCAUCAGGUCCCAUUGACUUAUUUGUCUUUACUUUUGACAGUUGAAAUAGAAUCUCUUCCUCAG